GUUGGUGGAUGAGUGGCGAACGGGUGAGUAACACGUGAGUAACCUGCCCCUGAUUUCGGGAUAAGCCUGGGAAACUGGGUCUAAUACCGGAUACGACCUCCUGACGCAUGUUGGGUGGUGGAAAGUUUUUCGAUCGGGGAUGGGCUCGCGGCCUAUCAGCUUGUUGGUGGGGUAAUGGCCUACCAAGGCGACGACGGGUAGCCGGCCUGAGAGGGCGACCGGCCACACUGGGACUGAGACACGGCCCAGACUCCUACGGGAGGCAGCAGUGGGGAAUAUUGCACAAUGGGGGAAACCCUGAUGCAGCGACGCAGCGUGCGGGAUGACGGCCUUCGGGUUGUAAACCGCUUUCAGCAGGGAAGAAGCGAAAGUGACGGUACCUGCAGAAGAAGUACCGGCUAACUACGUGCCAGCAGCCGCGGUAAUACGUAGGGUACGAGCGUUGUCCGGAAUUAUUGGGCGUAAAGAGCUCGUAGGUGGUUGGUCACGUCUGCUGUGGAAACGCAACGCUUAACGUUGCGCGUGCAGUGGGUACGGGCUGACUAGAGUGCAGUAGGGGAGUCUGGAAUUCCUGGUGUAGCGGUGAAAUGCGCAGAUAUCAGGAGGAACACCGGUGGCGA
rnacentral:rRNA from 1 species